GAAUAUAGUCCUAGAAAAUCUUCUGAGUCUUCUGAGAUAUUGUAUGGAAGUCUUCUGGUAUAGUUGAUUUUAAAAACAAUUUAUAAAAAAUUUUAAAAAUAUUUUGACAAGUAAAAAAUUAAAAUCAUGUAAUUAUAAACAGUUUUAAGUGAUAUAAAUUAAGAUAUAAUAAAAUUGAAUAGUUUUCAACAUAGAUGAGUGAAAGUGGUUAAUGAUGAUAUCAUUUGACUUAGGAUUUGACAAUAUAUGUUGUAAUAUUGUAUGUAUUUUUAGGAUUAGAUUUUGGAAAAUUUAAAUGUUUUUUUGAAAAAUUAAAAUUUUACAUAUAUGUGUUUAUUUUUGUGUAUAGUAAACACUUUUUAAGUUUAAUUUGAUUUUACGAAGUGUUUAGUUAGUUAAUUUAGUUUGAGGUCUAGACGACUAACAUGUAAGUCGUUUGGCGAUUAGAAGACUUUUCUGAAAGUCUUCUAACUCCCACUAAAAAUAUUUUAGUUUCCCGCUAUAAAUAUUGAAAUCUUUAGGAAUUCUUCUAUUAGAAGAUUUACUUGAAAGUCUUCUGAAUCGAAAAUAUUUAAUCUUAUUGGAAUUUUUGUCUCCAUAUGUAAAGAAAAAUUUACAUAUUCUCUCCCCUCCUCUCAAACGGCUGCAACAAAAAUGUUAUGUUCCUCGUUCUAAAACUCUCCAACCUCUC
rnacentral:lncRNA from 1 species